UGCAAGUCGAGCGGAUGACGGGGAGCUUGCUCCCCUGAUUCAGCGGCGGACGGGUGAGUAACACGUGGGCAACCUGCCUGUAAGAUCGGGAUAACUCCGGGAAACCGGGGCUAAUACCGGAUGGUUCCUUCCUCCGCAUGGAGGAAGGCGGAAAGACGGUUUCGGCUGUCACUUACAGAUGGGCCCGCGGCGCAUUAGCUAGUUGGUGGGGUAAUGGCUCACCAAGGCAACGAUGCGUAGCCGACCUGAGAGGGUGAUCGGCCACACUGGGACUGAGACACGGCCCAGACUCCUACGGGAGGCAGCAGUAGGGAAUCUUCCGCAAUGGACGAAAGUCUGACGGAGCAACGCCGCGUGAGCGAAGAAGGCCUUCGGGUCGUAAAGCUCUGUUGUAAGGGAAGAACAAGCGCCGGUUAACUGCCGGCGCCCUGACGGUACCUUACCAGAAAGCCACGGCUAACUACGUGCCAGCAGCCGCGGUAAUACGUAGGUGGCAAGCGUUGUCCGGAAUUAUUGGGCGUAAAGCGCGCGCAGGCGGUUUCUUAAGUCUGAUGUGAAAGCCCACGGCUCAACCGUGGAGGGUCAUUGGAAACUGGGAGACUUGAGUGCAGAAGAGGAAAGCGGAAUUCCACGUGUAGCGGUGAAAUGCGUAGAGAUGUGGAGGAACACCAGUGGCGAAGGCGGCUUUCUGGUCUGUAACUGACGCUGAGGCGCGAAAGCGUGGGGAGCAAACAGGAUUAGAUACCCU
rnacentral:rRNA from 1 species